rnacentral:rRNA from 1 species
CAGCAGCCGCGGGAAUACGAAGGGGGCUAGCGUUGUUCGGAUUUACUGGGCGUAAAGCGCACGUAGGCGGCUUGGUAAGUUAGAGGUGAAAGCCCGGAGCUCAACUCCGGAAUUGCCUUUAAGACUGCCGAGCUAGCAGGUGAGAGAGGUAAGUGGAAUUCCGAGUGUAGAGGUGAAAUUCGUAGAUAUUCGGAAGAACACCAGUGGCGAAGGCGGCUUACUGGCUCAUACUGGACGCUGAGGUGCGAAAGCGUGGGGAGCAAACAGGAUUAGAUACCCCCGUAGUCCCUGUCUCUUAUAC